rnacentral:rRNA from 1 species
GAAGCGGCAACAGCUCAAAUUUGAAAUCUGGCGCACGCCCGAGUUGUAAUUUGUAGAGGAUGCUUCUGGGUAGCGACCGGUCUAAGUUCCUUGGAACAGGACGUCAUAGAGGGUGAGAAUCCCGUAUGUGACCGGCCCGCACCCUCCACGUAGCUCCUUCGACGAGUCGAGUUGUUUGGGAAUGCAGCUCUAAAUGGGAGGUAAAUUUCUUCUAAAGCUAAAUACCGGCCAGAGACCGAUAGCGCACAAGUAGAGUGAUCGAAAGAUGAAAAGUACUUUGGAAAGAGAGUUAAAAAGCACGUGAAAUUGUUGAAAGGGAAGCGCCUGCAACUAGACUUCGCGGUGGUGUUCCGCCGGUCUUUUGACCGGUCCAUUCUCCACCGCGAGGCCAUCAUCGUCUGGGCCCGCCGGAUAAGACCUUGGGAAUGUAGCUCACCUUCGGGGGAGUGUUAUAGCCCAGGGUGAUGCGGCGAGGCUCGGGCGAGGUCCGCGCCUCGGCAAGGAUGAUGGCGUAAUGGUUGUCGGCGGCCCGUCUUGAAACACGGACCAAGGAGUCUAACAUCUAUGCGAGUGUUCGGGCGUCAAACCCCUACGCGUAAUGAAAGUGAACGGAGGUGGGAACCGCAAGGUGCACCAUCGACCGAUCCUGAUGUCCUCGGAUGGAUUUGAGUAAGAGCAUAGCUGUUGGGACCCGAAAGAUGGUGAACUAUGCCUGAAUAGGGUGAAGCCAGAGGAAACUCUGGUGGAGGCUCGCAGCGGUUCUGACGUGCAAAUCGAUCGUCAAAUUUGGGUAUAGGGGCG